rnacentral:piRNA from 1 species
UUGGCUCAUGAAGGGCUUGACGUACUUGC